rnacentral:rRNA from 1 species
AUGGCCAUCACCGAUCUGGAGUCUUCGAUCUGUCCUGGCAGCAGCACCUCGUGCUUCCUCACUUGGUUGGCUGACGGCCCUGCUCUCCCUAAUGGUGUCCUGGACCAGAUCGGCGUCCGGCGCGGGAAGCUCGGGGUGGUCGCAGGUUCGGGCGCCAUCUCCUUUCUUCCCGUACACUGGGAUCAAACAGCCCGCGGCCUGGCGGUGCCGGCCUGGAUCCGAAGGCAGAUGGACCAGAUCCUGGAGCUGGGCACGAAGGAGCUCGAGGUCGACGACUCCGGCUUCGUCCUCCUCCUCUGA